rnacentral:misc_RNA from 1 species
GUGAAUCAUCAAAUCUUUGAACGCAAAUUGCACUCUCCUCGGAGAGUAUGCCUGUUUGAGGGUCAGCCUAAAAAAAAAUCUACAUCGUUUCUUUUCUUUGGUGACGUUCGUCGGAAAUUUGGUUAUUUUCAACAUUUUUGUUUUAUCGACUUAAAAUUUUUUUUUUGAUUCCAUGAACGUUUC